AAGUCGUAACAAGGUUUCCGUAGGUAUGUAAAACUUCUGCCCCCUAAUCUUGUAAUAUCAGAUAACUAACAACAUUCUAGGUGAACCUGCGGAAGGAUCAUUACCGAGUCCUCCUGUUUUGCAGGAACUCCCACCCGUGAAUCCAACUCGUUGCUUCGGCAAGACGUUGGAAACAGCCAUUGACAUUGAAACCAAUGUCGAUGCGUGCUUGCCGGAGUCAAUAUACUCUUCAAUAUAUAUAGUCAGAGAAAACAAGCAAUAUAUAAAAACUUUCAACAACGGAUCUCUUGGUUUUG
rnacentral:misc_RNA from 1 species